AGUGAACGCUGGCGGUAGGCCUAACACAUGCAAGUCGAACGGCAGCACAGUAAGAGCUUGCUCUUACGGGUGGCGAGUGGCGGACGGGUGAGGAAUACAUCGGAAUCUACUUUUUCGUGGGGGAUAACGUAGGGAAACUUACGCUAAUACCGCAUACGACCUACGGGUGAAAGCAGGGGAUCUUCGGACCUUGCGCGAUUGAAUGAGCCGAUGUCGGAUUAGCUAGUUGGCGGGGUAAAGGCCCACCAAGGCGACGAUCCGUAGCUGGUCUGAGAGGAUGAUCAGCCACACUGGAACUGAGACACGGUCCAGACUCCUACGGGAGGCAGCAGUGGGGAAUAUUGGACAAUGGGCGCAAGCCUGAGCCAGCCAUACCGCGUGGGUGAAGAAGGCCUUCGGGUUGUAAAGCCCUUUUGUUGGGAAAGAAAAGCAGCAGGUUAAUACCCCGCUGUUCUGACGGUACCCAAAGAAUAAGCACCGGCGAACUUCGU
rnacentral:rRNA from 1 species